rnacentral:rRNA from 1 species
UCCUACGGGAGGCUGCAGUCGAGAAUAUUCGUCAAUGCGCGAAAGCGUGAACGAGCGACGCCGCGUGCGGGAUGAAGGCCUUCGGGUUGUAAACCGCUUUUGUAAGGGAAGAAUUUCGAUGACGGUACCUUACGAAUAAGAGGUUACUAACUCUGUGCCAGCAGUAGCGGUAAUACAGAGACCUCAAGCGUUAUCCGGAUUUAUUGGGCGUAAAGAGCUGGUAGGUGGUUAUGUUAGUCAGAUGUCAAAUCUCGGGGCUCAACUCCGAAACUGCAUUUGAAACGGCAUAACUAGAGGGUGUGAGAGAUCUAUGGAACUCAUGGUGUAGCAGUGAAAUGCGUUGAUAUCAUGAGGAACACCAAAGGCGAAGGCAUUAGAUUGGCACACUCCUGACACUGAGCAGCGAAAGCGUGGGUAGCGAAUGGGAUUAGAUACCCUAGUAGUC